rnacentral:rRNA from 1 species
AUGAGCCGGCGGUUUCUGUACAUGGCGGUCGAGAACUUGUGCGCUUCUCCCGUCUCACACACGCUCCACCGCAUCAACCCCUCGCGCCUGUUCUACCCCAAGGAGGCGAAUACGAGGGCUAAGACGGAGGUGGCUGCGGCCGAUGCAGUGAAGGCUCGCCUGCCUCCCCCCUCCAUGACCUUCUCCUCUCCCGACGUGGACAACGUGGUGGAGACGGACUUCGCGCUCAUCGGCCGGAGCAAGGACAAGAUCGUCGCCCUGCACCGCGCCCAUUUCGAUGACACAAAAUAUUACCGGGUCACGACUCAGGGCAGCGCCGUACUCUACGACGAUGCGCCGCACUCCUUCCGCGCGCUGCCCGACAUCACAGCCACAUUGCCCCACGGCGAGGUCGCGCCUGUCGCGGUCGGCGACGACCUGUACUUCAUACACUCCACACGGUUUGCGCCGAACGACAAGGACAGGUACGUCCAUGCGUUUAUUCGUGAUCCCGCCGGAGACGGUGGCUGGCAUUGGCAUUCCUUUCCGCCGCCUCCCGUCGAGGGAGGCGCCGCGGGAGCCUACGCGGUGGUGGACAGGUCGCACAUCUGGGCGUCCACGCGUGGUCACGGGACCUACUCCAUGGACACGGCGACCGGCGUGUGGAGCAAGGCCAGCGACUCACCGCUGCCGUUCAUGGGACGCGCCGAGUACGCUCCGGAGCUCGGCCUCUGGUUCGGCUGGGACAGAGGACUCCUCUGCGCGUGGGACCUGAAAUCUGCCGGCGCCGGCGCAGCGCCGAUGGAGUUGUGGGAAGGCUUCACGUUGCCCAGGGGAAGUUAUGUGAGGUCGCAGUACCUCGUGCACCUGGGCGACGGUGGCCGGUUCUGCGUCGCCAAGCUCUUUGAGAUGAUAAAGCCGCCGCCGACGUCGUGCUGUGCUCGCUGUUACUAUGACAAUUGCCCCCCUAAAAUUGGGUUCGCCGUGCUCACCGGCAUGGAGGUGGAGCGCUGCGACAGCGGGGAGCUCCGAAUGAUCAAGCACAGGUCGCGCAAAUAUAGCUUAGGUGAAACGAGGAUCUCCCAUGCUGUACUUUAA